rnacentral:lncRNA from 1 species
CAAAGGAGUGCUUCCCCACCUUUCCUUUCUUCUCCUCCUCAGCAGGACCUGCUAAGGUGAGGUGUUCUGGAAGGGUCUCUGCUCCUAGCAGUCACUGGCAGCUUGCCCAAAUUGGAGAAGUUUAACAUCUCUUUUCUCUGAGAAGUAAAAUGUGUUUCUUUGGUGGAUGUGAAACCAACAAACCACUGUGGUGCCUCUCUACAUCUGAAGGAUGAGCCAGCCAAGCCAGGGGAACUGACGACCCCACACACGUCUGCACUGCUGUGGCCGUGUUGAACACGGACUCCUUCUUCAGGGCAGCCUUGGGCCAUCGGAGGGCUGCUGUAUGCAGUGACGGCCACCAAGUGUCCUUGGCCAGGGGAGUGAUUUACAGGGACUGAGAUCCUGACUUGUGACCCAGACACGAAUGCAUCCUUGUUCCAUUUUGUUAUUGCUCAACCGUCAUCUGGCCAUCCCCAAAGCCCACCUCUGUGAGAAAGGCCAGUGCUUGUCCUCGUGACACCCCUGAGACCUCGAUGGAGCAAGUCCCAGGGCCCAUCAUACAUUUUUAAAGAAAAUCUUCUUUUGGUGAGAAGAUCAAAGGGCCAGGCAGAAAUGGAAAAGCACUUUCUGGCAUCAGACUUCCUCUGACUUCUCCGGUUGCCACACCACUGAAAGACUGCCCCACAGUGCGAGGGACGUCCACAUCUGCCUGGCUCUCCGAGGGAUGAACAGCCUUCAGUUCAGCUUCCUGUCACACCCCAAAAUCCACCAGGGCUCUGCAGUCAUAGAGCCCUGGAACCCAGAGGUGGAAACUUAAAGGAAUGAGUGCUCUCUCGCUCCAAAACCACAGAUAUCUGGUCCAUAGAGAACCCACCACACUUGUAUACAUUUUCAUACGUCUGCGCACAUACACAAAUGCAC